UACGGAGGGGGCUAGCGUUGUUCGGAAUUACUGGGCGUAAAGCGCACGUAGGCGGCUUUGUAAGUUAGAAGUGAAAGCCCAGGGCUUAACCCUGGAAUUGCCUUUAAGACUGCAUCGCUAGAAUUGUGGAGAGGUAAGUGGAAUUCCGAGUGUAGAGGUGAAAUUCGUAGAUAUUCGGAAGAACACCAGUGGCGAAGGCGACUUACUGGACACAUAUUGACGCUGAGGUGCGAAAGCGUGGGGAGCAAACAGG
rnacentral:rRNA from 1 species